UCCCUCAGGAACGACUCGCCAUGCUGAUUCCUGUUGUGUCCUCUUGCUUUCCCUCCCUCUGCAGUGCCGUUCCCCUCGCAAAUGGGAGAUUCAGCCUGUGAGAAAACAGAUUCUUACACUUAAGUAGCUAGUCCAAGACAGAAAUGCGAUUGAACCCAGCUCAGGCUCGGAAGUCCAAGCUCCUUCCCUCCAAUUGCCCCAGUAAUGGAAACGGUAUUGAAGGUAAGUGACUGGGAGGUUUUUUUUAGAGGGAGGGGAGAUCUUUAAAGGCAGGUAAUGGUGUAGAAGAGCUCUUGAAAGGGGUA